GAUGAACGCUGGCGGCGUGCCUAAUACAUGCAAGUCGAGCGAACGGACGAGAAGCAUGCUUCUCUGAGGUUAUCGGCGGACGGGUGAGUAACACGUGGAUAACCUACCUAUAAGACUGGGAUAACUUCGGGAAACCGUAGCUAAUACCGGAUAAUAUUUUGAACCGCAUGGUUCAAAAGUUAAAGACGGUCUUGCUGUCACUUAUAGAUUGAUACGCGCUGCAUUAACUAGUUGGUAAGGUAACGGCUUAACAAGGCAACGAUGCAUAGCCGACCUGAGGGGGUGAUCGGACACACUGGCACUGAGACACGGUACAGACUCCUACGGGAGGCAGCAGUAGGGAAUCUUCCGCAAUGCGCCAAAGCCUGACGUAGCAACGCCGCGUGAGUGAUGAAGGUCUUAUGAUCGUAAAACUCUGUUAUUCGGGAAGAACAUAUGUGCAAGUACCUGUGCUCAUCUUGACGGUACCUAAUCAGAAAGCCACGGCUAACUCCGUG
rnacentral:rRNA from 1 species